CGGGAAGCGGGAAGACAGCCCCGGGCGUCCCGCCUUUCUUCUCCAGAAAACGCACGCCCCACAUCGCGCUCCCCCGUUCCUCCGGCUCCAGCGUCCUCUGGUCCUUCUUUCUGUCUGUGCCUCCGUCUUUGUCUCAGCCUCUCAGGCUUGCUCGCUCCCUGCCCAGAUUUUGUGGCCCAGGCUCCUGGCUGUCUGACUCUGGGUUUCUGUCCCCUUCCUGCCUCUGAGCUUCCGUCUGGGCCUCCCCUCUGGGAGACUUGCGACUUGACCAGUUUUGGCUUCAGCCCCCAUCUGGGUCCCUGUCUCCAUCUGUGCUGGUCUUCCUCCCUGCUUCUCCGUCGCUUGCCUGGGUAAGCUGCUGCUUUCCUGAUCCCCAGAGGAGCCCAGUGCCCCUGCCCUGGGGAGCUGAGGGGGCAAAAUGAAGAGGCUCAGCCUCCGUGGCCAGCACAUGGGGUCCUUGAGUUAGUUGCUGCCCUUCUUCAAACUCAGUUUUCUUUCCUGUUCUGAGGAAAGAGGUAUGUCCUUCUUCUCCCAGCCUUUCCAAGCCUGUGUGAUUGUGAGAGCCUUUGUGGGGUGUGUGUUUGGGAAGGCAACUGGGGUACAAAUGAUUGGACGCAGUGGGGAAGAGACAGGGAGGGGGUCUCUGAGGGCCAUGGCCAGGGUGGGCAGGGCCCUGAAGCUGAGGAUGGGGAGAUUGGAAAUGGUGACUUUCUCUGCUGGGUCGGGAGUGAAGAGAAAACAGAGGCACAAAAUCUCAAGCAGUGUUCUACAUAGAGCUAGAGAGUCCCGCACUCUCACCCUCAGCACUGUUUGGAGACUCUAGCCCCCAACCCUGACACACACAUACGUGAACAUCUGCUUGCCCUGUUGACUUAGGACCUUGAGCCACUUGGGUACCCUCCCUGAGGCCAGCCAUUCCACCUUGCUGUCUCAUUCCCAGGGCUUAGUGUGUCUAUUCCUUCCUCAGUCAGCAAACUGUGGGGAUGGCUUUUUAAGAACCAAAGGUUAGAACCCUUGGGUGUUCACAUGGGCUCCAGUCUCCCCACGGGUUGGAGACUGUCCCUUAGAGACGCUUCCCUUCCUCUUCCCUGGUGGGUCCUCAGACAGCAGUUCCUUCUCUCUGGAAAUCCAAGGCUCAGGAUGGGGACCUCUGAGUUUGUGACUGUGACAUAGUCUGUUCCAAAGGUAUUGACCUCGGGGUCCUGGGAGGUUUGUGCUGUUCUUGGACACCCUUUGAAUUACAGAGGGGUCAGCAUUGGCUGGGGUCUCCUGUCCUCUGCCUGGGACUUCACUGCUUGCAUCUCUCCCCACUGCUGAGUUUGGUAGGGGAAUAUGGCCCAUCUCUCACCAAGCUGAGGCCAGGGCUGACAGACAGGUCCAGGGGAGUCCCAGGAGCUUCUCAACCUACUUAAUGACACCAUCCUGUCCCUCCCUGGCUUUUGAGUACCUAGGAAAGGGGCUCGUGGGGAGGCAGAGUCAGAAGGGGCAGCUGCUCUCAGGUUCCACUUUUCCUGGUCUGUUUUUCUGUCUUUCUAUCUCUCUGCAGGAGCUGGGUCCCUUCGCAUCUCUUUUCUUGUCUGUCCUUUCCUGGUCCCUGUUUCCUCCUCUCUUUGCCUUCGCUGCUUCUAAUCUCAUCCCCUGGAGACCCAGGUCUGCUGGACCCAUCCAUCCCCUUUGGGGCCAUGGGAUCGCUGCUUGGGCUCCUGGCACUGCUGCUGCUGUGGGGUGCUGUGGCUGAGGGCCCAGCCAAGAAGGUGCUGACCCUGGAGGGAGACUUGGUGCUGGGUGGGCUGUUCCCAGUGCACCAGAAGGGCGGCCCAGCAGAGGACUGUGGUCCUGUCAAUGAGCACCGUGGCAUCCAGCGCCUGGAGGCCAUGCUUUUUGCACUGGACCGCAUCAACCGUGACCCACACCUGCUGCCUGGCGUGCGCCUGGGUGCACACAUCCUCGACAGUUGCUCCAAGGACACACAUGCGCUGGAGCAGGCACUGGACUUUGUGCGUGCCUCACUCAGCCGUGGUGCUGAUGGCUCACGCCACAUCUGCCCCGACGGCUCUUAUGCGACCCAUGGUGAUGCUCCCACUGCCAUCACUGGUGUUAUUGGCGGUUCCUACAGUGAUGUCUCCAUCCAGGUGGCCAACCUCUUGCGGCUAUUUCAGAUCCCACAGAUUAGCUACGCCUCUACCAGUGCCAAGCUGAGUGACAAGUCCCGCUAUGACUACUUUGCCCGCACAGUGCCUCCUGACUUCUUCCAAGCCAAGGCCAUGGCUGAGAUUCUCCGCUUCUUCAACUGGACCUAUGUGUCCACUGUGGCGUCUGAGGGCGACUAUGGCGAGACAGGCAUUGAGGCCUUUGAGCUAGAGGCUCGUGCCCGCAACAUCUGUGUGGCCACCUCGGAGAAAGUGGGCCGUGCCAUGAGCCGCGUGGCCUUUGAGGGUGUGGUGCGAGCCCUGCUGCAGAAGCCCAGUGCCCGCGUGGCUGUCCUGUUCACCCGUUCUGAGGAUGCCCGGGAGCUGCUUGCUGCCAGCCAGCGCCUCAAUGCCAGCUUCACCUGGGUGGCCAGUGAUGGCUGGGGGGCCCUGGAGAGUGUGGUGGCAGGCAGUGAGGGGGCUGCUGAGGGUGCUAUCACCAUCGAGCUGGCCUCCUAUCCCAUCAGUGACUUUGCCUCCUACUUCCAGAGCCUGGACCCUUGGAACAACAGCCGGAACCCCUGGUUCCGUGAAUUCUGGGAGCAGAGGUUCCGCUGCAGCUUCCGGCAGCGAGACUGCGCAGCCCACUCUCUCCGGGCCGUGCCCUUUGAGCAGGAGUCCAAGAUCAUGUUUGUGGUCAAUGCAGUGUACGCCAUGGCCCAUGCGCUCCACAACAUGCACCGUGCCCUCUGCCCCAACACCACCCGGCUCUGUGACGCGAUGCGGCCAGUUAACGGGCGCCGCCUCUACAAGGACUUUGUGCUCAACGUCAAGUUUGAUGGUAAUGGUGUUGGCCAGUGUCCAUUGGCCUGCUGGCUGUCAGAGGAUGAGGGGAAGCAGAACUUCAGCUUCCAUUCCUUUGCUAAGGAAACAGUAGAGUGAAAGUAAAGGACUCACCUGGGGUGGCGUCAGAGCAAGGGCAAGGAUGCUAGGCAGAGAGGACUCCAACUGAAGCCACGGCUGAGGUUCCACUUUCUUCCAGAGAGUAGACCUCUGGCCUGGUCCCGCCAUUUUGAGGGUCUCUGGCUCCUCCUUGGGCCUUGCCCACUGUCUUCUGUCUCCUUAUCUUGCCAAAGGUGGAGACCAGGAGACCUCAAGCCCAUUCUCAGGCAGCACCAAGAGUUAGAAUCAGUCUGGCUUGAGGGUGAGCAUCAGGAUGACGCUCUAUAUUCACGGAAAAUGUCUUUCUGUCUUUCUGUCUUUCUUUUUUCUUUUCUUUCUUCUUUCUUUCUUCCUUUCUUUCUUUCUUUCUUUCUUUUCUUAGAUGGGGUCUCACUAUAUUUUGCAGGCUGGAGUGCAGUGGUUAUUCACAGGCACAAUACAGCCUCCAACUCCUGGGCUCAAGCGAUCCUUCUGCCUCAGUCUCCAGAGUAGCUAGGAUGACAGGCAUGUGGCACUGCUCCUAGUUUCAGGGAAAAUUUCUAUUCCUAAUCUUGAUUUUCCACUCAAGGUGACCUGAAAGUCUCCUGAAAUCAAAAGUUAUUUUAAUAAGAGUGCCAGCUUUAAGAGAAAUGACUGCUGCAGAUCAUCACUAUGCUUCAGGAAGAAUCACCGUGGGAACAGUGGGAGACAAAGCUUGGAAGCCCUGGCCCAGGGUUAAGAUGAAGAGUAAUUCCAAUAGAACUGACAUUCAGAGUUAGCUACAAUCAGCGUAGGGGUUAGGGUUGGAAUCUGGGGUCCGAUUUGGUUGAUGUUAGAGCAAGGCUAAAUUCAGCAUGUUUGGCUUGGGUGGAAUUUAUGGUAGGGCUAGAGUUGGAUUUUGAGAACUUUUAGGCUGAGUAGAAAGAGUAGGUGCUUGAGGCGACCUGGGUUUGAAUCUAGGCUGCACUAUUCACUCAUGGGGCCUUAAGCAUGUCUUCUGCUUUCUUGAACCCUGAUUUCUCACUGGGGCCAGGGAUGGCUGUAAAUCCUGGCUAGAGCCUGGCUGGGAGAUGUGAGGUUUACAGGGGAUGAAGUGGGGGUGGAGAGAGGAAGUGAUUUUCCAGCCACUGACCACAUUCUGGUGAAUGGCAGUGGUUGCAGGUGACCACUGAGGUUGGGAUUCAGUUUGCACCAGGAUGACUGUUAGGACUAGGGGUGCUGGAGCUGGGGUUGUUGUUAGGAUUAGUGGGGACAGGAUUGGAGCUGAGACUGGGUUUAGCCUUAGCAUUGAGUUUGGGGAGAGGGCUGUAGUGUAUGUUUCGAUGAAGUUGGGAUUUGGAGCCUGGGUUGGAAAGUGUUGGAUAGUACUAAAGUUGAAUUUGGGGAGUCAUGGUUGGGGAUUGAUGUGGGCAUUAGGUUUUUGGAGAUGUCUGGGCUUUAAGGCUGGGAUUAUAUUUGGCAUUUAGGGUUGGGGUUUGAUGUUGGAGUUUAGGAGUAAGACUUUGUUGUCAUCUCUCAUUUAGAAAAAUGAUUGGGGUCAAGGCAGGAUUUAGUAUUGGGUUAAGGAUUGGAAGGGCUAAUGGUGGUCUUAGCUCUGGCAUUUGGGUUCCAUGUUAGGGUGAAUGUUGAGGUCACAUCAGGGUAACACACUAGUCCAACCUUCUCUUCCUUCCCUCCCCCAUCCUAGCCCCCUUUCGCCCAGCUGACACCCACAAUGAGGUCCGCUUUGACCGCUUUGGUGAUGGUAUUGGCCGCUACAACAUCUUCACCUAUCUGCGUGCAGGCAGUGGGCGCUAUCGCUACCAGAAGGUGGGCUACUGGGCAGAAGGCUUGACUCUGGACACCAGCCUCAUCCCAUGGGCCUCACCCUCAGCCGGCCCCCUGCCCGCCUCUCGCUGCAGUGAGCCCUGCCUCCAGAAUGAGGUGAAGAGUGUGCAGCCGGGCGAGGUCUGCUGCUGGCUCUGCAUUCCAUGCCAGCCCUAUGAGUACCGAUUGGACGAAUUCACUUGCGCUGAUUGUGGCCUGGGCUACUGGCCCAAUGCCAGCCUGACUGGCUGCUUCGAACUGCCCCAGGAGUACAUCCGCUGGGGCGAUGCCUGGGCUGUGGGACCUGUCACCAUCGCCUGCCUCGGUGCCCUGGCCACCCUCUUUGUGCUGGGUGUCUUUGUGCGGCACAAUGCCACACCAGUGGUCAAGGCCUCGGGUCGGGAGCUCUGCUACAUCCUGCUGGGUGGUGUCUUCCUCUGCUACUGCAUGACCUUCAUCUUCAUUGCCAAGCCAUCCACGGCAGUGUGUACCUUACGGCGUCUUGGUUUGGGCACUGCCUUCUCUGUCUGCUACUCAGCCCUGCUCACCAAGACCAACCGCAUUGCACGCAUCUUCGGUGGGGCCCGGGAGGGUGCCCAGCGGCCACGCUUCAUCAGUCCUGCCUCACAGGUGGCCAUCUGCCUGGCACUUAUCUCGGGCCAGCUGCUCAUCGUGGUCGCCUGGCUGGUGGUGGAGGCACCGGGCACAGGCAAGGAGACAGCCCCCGAACGGCGGGAGGUGGUGACACUGCGCUGCAACCACCGCGAUGCAAGUAUGUUGGGCUCGCUGGCCUACAAUGUGCUCCUCAUCGCGCUCUGCACGCUUUAUGCCUUCAAAACUCGCAAGUGCCCCGAAAACUUCAAUGAGGCCAAGUUCAUUGGCUUCACCAUGUACACCACCUGCAUCAUCUGGCUGGCAUUCCUGCCCAUCUUCUAUGUCACCUCCAGUGACUACCGGGUACAGACCACCACCAUGUGCGUGUCAGUCAGCCUCAGCGGCUCCGUGGUGCUUGGCUGCCUCUUUGCGCCCAAACUGCACAUCAUCCUCUUCCAGCCGCAGAAGAACGUGGUUAGCCACCGGGCACCCACCAGCCGCUUUGGCAGUGCUGCUGCCAGGGCCAGCUCCAGCCUUGGCCAAGGGUCUGGCUCCCAGUUUGUCCCCACUGUUUGCAAUGGCCGUGAGGUGGUGGACUCGACAACAUCAUCGCUUUGAAGACCCCAUACUCCCGCCCUGACACAGCUGCUCCUGGGAACCUAGUGCAGACCCACGUCCAGGGCCAGGAGGAAGUUGGCUGGAGCACUGCAAUAAUUUAUUACCCACCCUAUGUCUGCCCCCAAAGUCACUUACCCACCUCCUUACCCCAACUCUUCAGACUCAGAAGUCAGGAGCCUUGGCCAGGAGCCUCUGCAGUGGCCACUAACUGCCCUUGUAGCUGUGUUUCCUCCUGGCCAGGCCCAGGGCUCAGAGAGGAGCAAGCCAGGGUUCACUCUGCCCUGGACCGGGGUGGCUGAGGACGGCAGGCCCCAGUCCUAACCAGCAAAGGUGCUUCCAGCCCAGCCCCUCCCCCCAACUAGGGCCUUUUUUAUUUUUUAUAUAAGUUACUCUGGGAUGGGGAGGGUGGUUAUUGUGGGGGCUGCCCCUCCCCCUGCACAGUAGUUUGUCCUGUGGUUUAUUUUGUAUUACCUGUAAAUAAAGUGGCUUUAUUUUAAAAAA
rnacentral:sRNA from 1 species